rnacentral:ncRNA from 2 species
CGCUAGCGAUUGGAUGAUGGUUCCCGUGCCUAUGGCCGGGAUGAAAAGGGAACACGGUGCGGUCCGACCCGGAACUCCGGAGCGGGCCAAUGCCGGGACUGCCCCCGCAACUGUAGGCGGAGAGCGAUGCCGAGAUGCCACUGACCGCAAGGUUGGGAAGGUCGGCAAAGCAACGACCCGCAAGUCAGGAGACCUGCCAUCAAACGUGAAACCGA